UACAGUACUGUCCACCGUUCACCAGCACUUUGGAGAACGGUGAUGAAAUCCAUAUCAGCCCACCACCAGCAAGUCAACUGCACUACCCUCAAUACUCUGACCUCUCUGUUCUCCACCAAAAAAAUGUGGUGUGACAAAAGCUGCUUUAAAGUUCUCCUUCACCCCGCCGCCGCCGCCGCCGCUGCCUGCUUCUCCUCCAUCUUCAGCUUCAGCGAUCGUUUCCUGGGGCGCCACGGCCGUCCCCCGUUGGUCACCCUCCUUGCGGUGAGACUUUCGUUCACCGCCCAUCGGCUGCUUCUUCGAUGUCCACUGCAUAAUCGACUUUCUUGCGUAAGCGCUUGGAUCUCCUGUUGUGCCGAUGUAUUUCUCUCCGUGAGAGGGAGAUAACUCCGCCGUCGCUGGUUGCACUGCCCUCGACGACGACUUCUUUAUAUCUUCAGGUUUGAAGAUUUGGAGGACCAACUAUUCUGCGAGCACAAAUGGAUUGGUCGAAUUGCUCUUCUACUUGAGGGUGCCGAAAUCUCAUGGCCAGUUCGCUCUUCCACGUCGGAGAAAUCGGCUGUAGGGACUUGAUCUCAUACGUGAUCUCCCAUCAGAUACACCGUCGCCGAAUUGAUUGAUAGUGACAACGCUGGAGGUUCCCGGCCACGUCACGCUCGGAUGCCUUCUCAUUUUCCACGACCACCUCCGGAGCGAUGACGCCGGCAACUACGAACGAGCCAGAAACAGGGUGCGUCGAGUUCCUGAACCAGUUUGCAGAGCACGGCAAUAGAUGACUCGUGCGCGAGCUGAGCCAGCUCCGGUGAGCACAUCUCUAUGCCACUGCCGUACACGAAGACUACUACCACGCAAUGGCUGCCAUCUACUUGAACCCGCAGUGCUACGGGAAGGUGUGCUCCAGUGAGCACAUCUCAGCGCCUGCUUGAUUGAUUAAUUCCACCGAGCUGAUGCUGUUUUUGCUGGUUGGUUCAAUGGUUCAUCAUUAGGAUUUUGGAUCAAUCCACCUGUGUCGUGAUUCGUCAGCAGAGUACAGCACAACUACAACGCGUCGGCGACGAGGCGGCGGCGGCGGCGGUGAAGGUGUGCAGCUAUCCGGCGAAGUAUAUGAGCACGGAUGGGAUUCACUUCACCGAGGCUGGUUAUCGGGCCGUGACCCAUUUAUUGGGCCGAUGGGCAGAGCCUUUGCAAAUAUUGUAAAAUAUAUAUAUGUAAAAUAAAUUUUAUAAAUAGUUCAUUUAUACACGUGAGAAAUUAGCUUGAUUA